GAUGGGGACCGACGGACACACCGACCUCAACAAAGGAGGUAAGUCUGUUGAUCAAAAAGCAUACCGGUCAAUGAUAGGGUCUUUACUUUAUUUAUGUGCUAGUAAACCGGAUAUUAUGCUUAGCGUAUGCAUGUGUGCUAGAUUUCAAUCCGAUCCUAAGGAAUGUCACUUAGUGGCGGUGAAGCGAAUUCUUAGAUAUUUGGUUGCUACGCCUUGCUUCGGGCUCUGGUAUCCAAAGGGGUCUACCUUUGACUUGGUUGGAUACUCAGACUCCGACUAUGCUGGAUGUAAGGUCGAUAGGAAGAGUACAUCGGGGACGUGCCAAUUCUUAGGAAGGUCCCUGGUGUCAUGGAAUUCUAAGAAACAAACCUCCGUUGCCCUAUCCACCGCUGAGGCCGAGUAUGUUGCCGCAGGACAGUGUUGCGCGCAGCUACUUUGGAUGAGGCAAACCCUCAGGGACUUUGGCUACAAUCUAAGCAAAGUCCCACUCCUAUGUGAUAAUGAGAGUGCUAUCCGCAUGGCAGAAAAUCCUGUUGAGCACAUCCGCACAAAGCACAUAGACAUCCGGCAUCACUUUUUGAGAGACCACCAGCAAAAGGGAGAUAUCGAAGUGUUUCAUGUUAGCACCGAGAACCAGCUAGCCGAUAUCUUUACCAAGCCUCUAGAUGAGAAGACCUUUUGCAGGCUGCGUAGUGAGCUAAAUGUCUUAGAUUCGCGGAACUUGGAUUAAAUUGUAGCAUACAUGUGUUUAUGCCUUUGAUCAUGUUCAAUCUGCAUUUUGUUGCUUAUUGUGGUGCUCAAGUUGUACAAACAUUCCCUGGACCUCACAAGUCCUUGUGUAAGUGAUGCACAUAUUUAGGGGGAGUUGUGUUACAACUUGACCCUUUUGAGACUAACCAUAUGCUUGAGUUUGCGUGAUUUAGUCUCGAAGGAGAAUUGAAAGGGAAAAGGUGGACUUGGACCAUGAAAGACUUCCACUGCACUCCGAUGAGAGGGUAACUUAUUCCAAGUUCAUCUCAUGAACUCUUAUUGCCAUUUGCUCUUAAUUGAAGAUUUUGGUGAGGCAAUGGGGUUAUCGGGCCAAGAUUGAUCCCGUUUUGGUGCUUGAUGCCAAAGGGGGAGAAAAUAAAGGCCAAAGCAAUAAAUGGAUCAGCUACCACUUGAGAGAUUUUGAAAAUAGUAAAAUAGAGCUUUUUUAUCAAAACUCUUGCAUUGUCUCUUUUGUCAAAAGUUGACCUCUUGUGGGGAGAAGUGUUGAUUAUGGGAAAUAGGGGGAGUUUUUGAAAUCUUUGAUCAAUCUCUUUUGGAAUGACUCUCUUUAUGCUUCAACAUGUAUGUUUGACUUAGAGAUAGAGAUUUGAGUUUGAUUUGCAAAAACAAACCAAGUGGUGGCAAAGGAUGAUCCAUAUAUGCCAAAAUUGAAUCAAAAUAAAUUUGAGUUUUAUUUGAAGUGAUAUUGCACUUGUUCUAGUUGCUUUAUGUUGUGUUGGCAUAAAUCACCAAAAAGGGGGAGAUUGAAAGGGAAAUGUGCCCUUGGGCCAUUUCUAAGUAUUUUGGUGAUUGAGUGCCAACACAAGUGCUUAAAUGUGAAUUUAUGCUCAUGGAUGGACAAAGUGCAAAUCAAGAGUAAAGGUAUGUUUCUAAGCCUUAGUAUAUUGGUUUUGUGUACUAAUAUACUUGUCUAAGUGUUAGAAACAGAAAGAAGAAGAAAAGAAAAGAGGUGAAAAAGGCUUGGCUGUGUACAGCCAAGACUCAGCUCAGUCUGGCACACCGGACUGUCCGGUGGUGCACCGGACAGUGUCCGGUGCGCCAGGCUGACUCGGCGUGAAGUGGCCGCUCUCGGGAAUUCGCCGACGGCGUACGGCUAAAAUUCACCGGACUGUCCGGUGAGCCAACGGUCGGCCGCGCGAUCUGCGCGGGACACGUGGCCGAGCCAACGGCUAGAAGGGGGCACCGGACUGUCCGGUGUGCACCGGACAUGUCCGGUGCGCCAACGGCUCUCUGGCGGCUAACGGUCGGCUGCGCCAUUUUAGGAAGGAAAUCGGGCACCGGACAGUGUCCGGUGUGCACCGGACUGUCCGGUGCACCCGACGACAGAAGGCAAGAUUGGCCUUCCAGAUUUGUGCUCAACGGCUCCUAGCUGCCUUGGGGCUAUAAAAGGGACCCCUAGGCGCAUGGAGGAGAAUACCAAGCAACCUUAGAGCAUUCUUGAUCAUCCACACUCAGUCUUUGCGCAUUCGUUUGUCAUUCUCAGUGAUUCGAGCUCCGUUCUAGUGAGAACUUUGAGAUAGUCUUUUGAGCUCGAUUCUUGGCCGUGUGUGUGCGCAUUUUGCUGUGGAUUUGUGUGUGUUGCUUCUCUCCCUUACUCCGUGCUUCUUUGUGAACUUCAAGUGUAAGGGCGAGAGACUCCAAGUUGUGGAGAUUCCUCGCAAACGCGAUAAGAAAAGAAAAGCAUAACACUGUGGUAUUCAAGUUGAUCAUUGGAUCACUUGAGAGGAGUUGAGUGCAACUCUCGUCCGUUGGGACGCCACAACGUGGAGUAGGCAAGUUUUGUACUUGGCCGAACCAUGGGAUAAACCACUGUGUCUUCUCUGUGUUGAACUCCUUGUGGUUAUCGUAUUGUGCAAGAUCUUCUCUCUAGCCACUUGGCAUUAACUGUGCUAACGCUUAAUCAAAGUUUUGUGGCUUAAGUUUUUAAGUUUUACAGGAUCACCUAUUCACCCCCCCCUCUAGGUGCUCUCAGUGCCUCCGCCGUGUCCCCGCCGUGCGUGCCCUCAUCGUGCCCUCGCCGUGCCCUUGUCGUGCCCCCGCCGCCUCGCCCGCGACCCGCCGUCUUGUAACACCCUGAAUUUGGGGGUAUAAAAUUUCUUUUCUAAUAUCCACCAAAUUCAGGUUGUUACUCUGUCAUUUCUCUACUUUCCUUAUCUUUUCCCAAAAAUGAAGAAUUAUUUUUGUUUUACAUCGGCAUAAUCCUCGUAAAAUAAAACCCUAAGAGGGUCCUUGAUUGUUGUAUAGCAUGUCGAGGCAUAUUUUUGUGUCGAAUUAUGGUGUUUGUGCAUCAAUUCAAACUCAUUAAAUAUAUUUGAAUCUUUGAUUCAAAACUAUGUUUAGAUUCGAAUAGGAAUAAUAAAAAAAGGGGAGAAAUAAAAGCUUUCCUCAUACCACAGCCAGCCUCCCGCGCGGCCCACACGCCAUUUUUCCACCCCCGGCCCACUCCCACGCGCAGCCGCGCGUCCCAACUAGGCCCAUCCCGUGCGCCCCUGUCUCCCGCGCGCCUCCCCCCCCCCCCCGAACCCUAGUGCUGCCGCCCUGUUCCCGAGGCCCACGCACGCGCCCUUCUCUUCCUCUGGCCGCCGCCACCUGCUUCUCCUAGCCCCACCUUCUUUCCUCUCUCCCCUUCUCUGCGUAGCCAAGCAGCGCCGCCAGGGAGCGCAGCGUCGCCCGCGGCCACCACCCAACGGCGCGCAGCCCCAGCCAACAGGGUUUGGCUCAGCCCCUAGCCCCGCGACGGCGGGCACGGCCCCUAGCCCCGGUGGCGGGCGCGACCCAGCGGCCGUACGGCUCGCGGGUGCGGCCCCCAGUCGGCCCCGAUGGCAUGGGCGCGCAUGGAUCUCGGCCAGGCAGGCGGCCUCGGCCACGGCGGCACCGGCGACCGACAGCGCGGGCAGGCGGCACCAGCGCACGGAUCCGCAAUGGCGCGGCCACUCCGCGGUGCGCACUGGCGGCCCCGGCGCGGGCACGGCCCCGGCGCGGAUGCGGCCUCGGCGCCGUGCGCGCGGCCCCGCCCCUGCUUCCCCGUCGGCUGGCGCGACUGGUGCGCGGCGUGGCACGCAGUGCCCAGCGCAGCCGCCGUGCGCGCGGCCGGUGGCCCGCGUCCGCGGUGGUGCACCUCCGGUGGCUCUGUACGCGCGGCCAGCCCGUGACACGCAGCGUGCAGCCGGCGCAGCCCGAUGCGCGCAGCGUCGUCCGUCGUCGAGCAGGGAACGUGCCCCAUCAACUUCAUCGUGCCCUAAGCCUAUAUGCGUCGAGCCCAUCUCACGCCAAGGUGAACGUCGUAUACCUGUCGUCGUCUACCCAUGCUCGUAGUCUGUUGUUGCCUAGCUGGUGUUCGCGCCACGCGUCGUAGCUCGCACGUUGUCGCGUUCGGCACAUAGGUUGUUUGCGCGUCAUCGACGUGUUGUUCGCGUCGUUCGUGCGCGUCGCGGUCAUUGUUUCGCGUUUGUCGCGCGCAUUGCCACAUAUCGUUCACGCGCGCCGUUCGCGUGUGUUGCGCGCAUCAUCCACGCAUGAGAUUAAGCCGUUUGCGGAUAAUUACUCAUGGCAGUUAAUUAACUAUUUAAUCGUCCACUAUUAAACUAGUAAGUUAGUCAUAACUAUAUAGUAGUUUUAAUGUACAUUCGAUGUCAAUUAAUGUGAUUGCAUCGAAUUAAAUGUUCUAACUAAUACUUUUUUUGCGUAAAUGUUAUAACUUCUCUGUAACACCCUGAAUUUGGGGGUAUAAAAUUUCUUUGCUCAUAUUCACAAAUUCAGGUGUUACUUCCCUUUUUUUCAUCCUUUCCCAAUCUUCUCUUUCUCAUUUCUAUAGGAGAAAAGUGGUUAUUUUAUUUGUAAUUAUAGUCUAUUAGCUCAAACCCUAAGGGAAUAUGAAUUGUUGCAUCAUGUUGAACCCUAGAUUUCACUUUUGUUUGGUGCAUAACUCUCAAAAAGUCUAAUUUGAAUUUGGGGCUCAUUUGAAUUUGAAUCAAAUAGAAUAAAUAAAAGAAAAGGAGAAAACAAUUCCAAAAUAAAAGAAAAAGGCAAAGCAGCCCACUUCCCCGCCCCCCUCGGCCUUUCGGCCCAGUCGGCCCACCUCGCGCGCGCGCCUCUCCCCCCCUCCUCUCUCUGCGCAGCGGGCCCGACCUGUCGGCGCUGCCGCUUCCCCGCGCGCGCCCGCUCCCUCGCUCUCUCUCUGCCCGUGGGCCCGGCCCGUCAGCCCCGCUUCCCUCGCGCCCGCACCCGCUUUCUUCUCUCUCUCUGCGCCGCGGGCCCGGCUUGUCAGCUUCUCCGUCUUCACGUAACCGCCGCCGUGCGUGCCGCGGUCUCCGCGCCCACGUCGCGCGUGGGGCUCGCCCCACCUCGCCCUCGGCCACUUGAGCCCCGAGCCUUGCUCGCCCUCUCCCCCUCCCUCAUUUGCGCACCAACCGGCCCCCCUCUUCCACCUCUCCCUCGCUGUGCGCACGCCAGAGCGCCGCCGCCGUAAACCCCGCCGUUCCGAGCUCGGUUCCCGGCCGCCGUUGGAGCUCCGCCGUGUCCAUUGCCACGGUGAGCUUCGCCCCGACGUCCGCAACCCGGAACGCGCACCAAUUUCCCCUUCCCCUCCCUAUUUCUCUCUGCCCGCGCUCACCCGCCGUCCGCCGUGCAGCCGCCACCGUCGACCCGGGCCACCGUCGCGUCUCCGUCGCCGCCGAGGAGUCCCCGGAGCCCGCCUUGAGGUAAAGAACCUCUCCCGCCCCUAUUGGCCUUUAUUUUGCUCUCUGCUGCGUUUGAUUGCUCGUCGGAGUUGCUUACCGCCGCCGCCGAGCCACUCCGCCGUGAGCCACCCCCCCGGUGCCCCUGCCCCGACCCAGACCCCACCAAUGGAUUCCCCGUGCCCUCCCUAACCUCCCCGGCCACUCGGAUCGCCCCAAGGACCCGCAGGGCCCCCGCGCCCCUCGUCUCCGGCGAGCUCCUCCGCCGCGGGGACGAGCGCCGCCGCCCCAGCCAGCCGAAGGAGACGGGAGCCAGCCACCCCAUCCCCGCCGUCUAUAUUAGAUCGGACGGCAUGGAUUCGAAUAACCCGAACCCAACCUCAACCGUCCGCCCAAGAUCCAACGGCCCAGAGCCGUUUCCCCCGCGCCCCGCCUCCCUGCCAGCUGGGCCCCGCCUGCCAGUCGCCCGCGCCCACGCUGCCCGCCCGGCCCCGCCUGUCAGCCCCGCGCCCGCGCUGCCCGCCCGGCCCCGCCUGUCAGCCGCUCACGCCGCCGCGCGCCCGCGCGCCCGCCGCGGGAUCUAAUCCUGGCCGUCGAUCUGAGAUCCAACGGCUGUAGGCGCACGAUACCCCUUCGCCCGCGCAUUUUCUUAAAGAACCCCCCCUGUUUUCUGGAAAUUGCGCCCGCCGUCCCUGGUUUCUCGCAGUUAGGUCCUCGGACCUUUUAUUUAAUUCAAAAUAGGUCCUUAGGGUAUAAUUUUAACCCCUAAACUUGUAAAAUUCAUAACUUUGUCAUAUGAACUCCAAAUUAGGUGCUUCAAAUUGCAAAAUGUUCAUAAUAUUAUUAUCUAUCUGUUUAUGCAAUGUUUCCCUGCUGUUUCCAUGUACCAAUUAAUAGUUAAUCACCAGGAUAGGAUUAAGGCUAUUGGAACCUUAUUUGAGAUAAUUAGAAUUUGGUAGACUUUAAUAAAAGUUGGAUUACUUAAGUUUAUGGACUUAAACACCUAAGUUUAGGAACUUAAACCAGAUAAUUAUUUAAUCCCACCACUGACUUAAACCUGAUUAGUGGAUAAUGAAUCACUUUGUAUAGUCCUCUACCCCAGACCUAGGGAACACCAGAGUGCCUAUCCCUUUUCAACUAUGAACUUGUGAUCUCUCUCUGCUGCAUAUGUUUGGUAUAUUGUUUUUGUUUGUUAUUUUCCCAAGUGCAUAGUGUGAAUGAUUGCUUUGCGUAGACAACGAGCAGUCUGUGUUUCCCGAGGCAGUUGCAGAGGAAGUCCCUGAUCAGCAGUUUGGUGAAGGCAAGUGUCCUCUGUCCCAUUAUGUCCUAUUCAUUUAUAACUUACUACCCCGCAUUACUUACUUGAGACCUAAGGAUUGACUAGCUUUACACUUUACUUUGUCCUUGAUGACCUAUUGGGUUGUUAUGGUUAGCACUCUGCUAUUGCCUUAACUUAAUCAAUGAACAUGAUGUGACUAUUUAUGAUACUGUUAUCCUGAUGAUGUUGAUGAUCUUGUGAUACUCUAGGGGGCUCAGGCUGUUUCCUGAGUACCUCUCCGUAAGGACUGGUUCGUUGAGAGACCACCCGGGAUAACAGUGCAACCAUGAGGGUGAAAUGGGAUGCCCUUAGCUGAUUAAUUAGAUGAACUAGAGGUGUAGUUGCUUAGCCGUCGUGCCGUCAAUGGGGUCCAGGCACAGUGCUUGCUCUGCCGAGGCUGAGUGCCGAGGUUCUUUCGUUUUGCUCUUUGUUAGUCACUCUCCUGCGGGGAGGGGUACUGUGUUUAUCAAACUGGAGAAACCUAACGGGCAGCUACGAUCUCUAGGGAAUCUUUGUAAAAGCUACGUAGUGAUGCCCUGCCAGACCACCUAGGUAGUGGUCAAUGGGGAUUAGCUCUCCCCGGGUAGAAAGGGAAUCAUGACUCAUGGGUAAAGUGUGCAACCUCUGCAGAGGGUAGUGAAACUGAUAUAUCAGCCGUGCUCACGGUUAAGAGCAGCCUUGGGAUCCUCUUUGAUUAGAGAUACAGAUGGUUCGAGAUACAAGGAUUAUGUGAUGGUUUUGGUUCGACGAUGAUGACGAUGUUCCUCGAUGAGGAAAUGGUUUACGGGUUGGUUAAUGCUAAAAUCUGGCUUCUACUAAUGAUAAAUACCUGACCAACUAAAAGCAACUACUUGAGCCUAACCCCACAUAAAGCUAGUCCACUUCAGCCAAACGGGACAUUUGCUGAGUACGUUGAUGUGUACUCAUCCUUGCUUUACCACAAAACACCAGGUUGUCCGCAUUGUAACCACUGCUCAGGAGAAGGCGAAGCCGUGGAAGGAGACUUCCAGGAGUUUCAAGACUACGAUGAAUUCUAGGUGUGGGUUGGCGGCAACCCCCAGUCAGCUGCCUGUGAAGGCCUUAUCUUUACUGCGUUUCGCUAGCACUUUGAUUUAACUGUUAAGACAAUGACUAUGUGGAUGUCUAUGACUCUAUGAUGUAAUAAGUACCCUUUUAUAUUAUUAUUCGAGCAUUGUGUGAUGAUGUUCAUUUAUGUAAUCGCUGUGUACGUGAGUUCUGAUCCUGGCACGUACAUAGUUCGCAUUCGGUUUGCCUUCCAAAACCGGGUGUGACAUAAGUGGUAUCAAAGCCGUGCUGACUGUAGGACCGCUGACCUAGAGUAGCACUGGUCGUACUAAGGACUAUUGACCUUCCCUCUCACCUUGACCUCUGUUGUUACUUCAAAAGUCGGUCACCUCGACCAACCCUAUGUUUUACUAUCUAUCUAUACUAUACCUUGUUAAAAUUUUUAUCUUAUUCUGUCUAUGGUUUAUUCACUUGUCAUAUUAGUUCUGCUCUUACUCUUGUGCUUACGGUGUCUUUUGUAGAUGGCUCGUCUUAGACACACUGCACGUAAGUCGGUGAUUCCUUUCCUGCCGUCUCGACUUGCGGAGCGUCCUCUGCACCGCACCGUGUCCGGACAGUCGAGUCACCUGGAGAGGCUGCACCACCGCCUGCGUGAGGAGCAGGAACGUCGGCGCCAGCACGGAGAGCAGCAGGGCUCUUCCUCCUCACCCCAGCAGGAGGUGGAGACCGUGAGGCCCCGUUCCUCUGUUGCCCAGCUGGAGGCGCCCCUUGUACCACCGCGGGACGCCCCGGCUGUUGGAGGAGCUACUGGAGGAGAUCCCGACGACGACGACUCAGACCACAGCACGGAGUCUUCUGAGCCGCAGGAGGCGGAAGGAUGGGUCGCCCGACCCAUCACCCGUGACGCCGCUCGCGGUUGUCACUUCCACGACGCACUCGACACCUUGCUGCGCCAGGCUUUCGACCGGCACACCUGGUCGAUCGAGUAUCGUUGUGUAGUCUACCAGCACAGUCGCGGGAGGUACCCGGACCGCUGGGAGGCUACCUGCCUAGUUCGCCGUCCGAAGGAUGACCUCCGGGGUGCGGAGGCCGUUUCGGAGCACUAUUCCAUCUCCGAGAGGGACACUGCAGAGGCGGCUAUGCAGGAUGCAGCACGGCGUGCACUCUCUCAGUACUGUUCUUUGUUCGGUGGCGUGGCCGAUGGUCUUAACCUUCGGUACUACCCCCGCCGCCCUACUGGCAGCACAGAGAGUGUGGUUGUCUCACCCGUUGGUGAGGCUAACCCUAGGUUGAGCAGCACAGUCAACCUAGUCGCAGUGCUUAACACUGAGCUGGACCACUCUCUGGACGAGCUAAGCAGGGCUCGAACGGAGAUUGCGGAGUUGCGUGCUGAGUUGGCAGAACGCCAUCACCAGGAGGGUGGUUCCCCCGCUCCUGUUGGGACUCAGCACCCAUACCGCUUGCCGCCACGUGGUCACCAAACUUAUGGUUCCCCUGUCUGUAAGACCAGGAUAGAUCUGGAUCCUUAGACCGUUAGCGUCGGAGUUUGUAAUAAUCCUUAAGUCAGAUGUCUCAGUCUUAGGUAGUCAGUUUAGUUUGCUUAUCAGUUGCUUCCAUUUAGUUUAGUUUGCUUAUCAGUUGCUUUAUUGCUUGUUAUGGUGAACUUGUGCUGGAUUUGAAUCUUUGUAAUGGCUGUUGCCAACCUGUGGGUUUCCCCUGCAGUUUGGCCUAGCUAGUAAUGUUAAUGAAGUCAGUUGCGUAGUUGGGAAACCAUUUGCCUCCACUUUCCUUCUUAUCUGAGAAGCUGUGUUGAAUCAUAAUGGGGAUCAGUGAAGCUCUUUGUUCACUCAGUGUCAUGAAGAAUUCUGUAUUCUCUUUUCUUAUGCUGAAGGGUUGUAAGAUCAAUGCUGAUGUGUGAGUGUCUUCCACAGAUGUCUGACAACAGGCGCCGAUGCAACAGGCGUGCUCAGCAAGAGCAGCAUGACCAGCAGGAGGAACAACAGAGGCAGCCUCCCCCACCACCCCCGAUGUCAGUGGAGCAGAUGUUCUUGAUGUAGACCCAGGCAGUGCAGGCCAUUGGGCAGACUCUGGCAGCCAUGCAGCAGGCUCAACAGCAGCCCCAACCCCAAUUGCAAGUGCAGAUGCCCCAGAUGCCACGGGAUAAGCGUGGUGAGUUCAUGAGAGGGCACCCUCCUACCUUCGCCCAUUCUGCUGACCCCAUGGAUGCAGAAGACUGGCUGCGCGCAGUGGAAAGGGAACUGCGCACCGCCCAAUGUGACGACAGGGAGAAGGUUCUAUAUGGUCCCCGUCAGCUAAGGGGAGCAGCCCAGUCCUGGUGGGAGUCCUACCUCGCCACCCAUGCUAACCCCGAAGCCAUCACCUGGGAAGAAUUCAGCGAGAGUUUCCGCAGGUACCAUGUGCUGGAGGGACUGAUGAUCGUGAAGAAGGAGGAGUUUUUGGCUCUGAAGCAGGGACCCCUGUCUGUUAGUGAGUACAGAGACAAGUUUCUGCAGCUGUCUCGUUACGCACCUGAGGAUGUCAACACUGAUGCCAAGAGGCAGUACAGGUUCAUGAGAGGUUUGGUGGAUCCCCUGCAUUACCAGCUGAUGAAUCACACCUUCCCCACCUUCCAGCACCUGAUCGAUAGGGCAGUUAUGACUGAGAAGAAGCGUAAGGACAUGGAAGAUCGGAAGCGCAAGAUGAGUGGACCUCAGUCCGGAGGCAUCGGCCGUCCACGUUUCUCAGGCAGUUCAUCUCAGCAAGGCAGACCUGGUCACCCACAGGGAUAUCAGAAUCAGAAUCAGCGUCCGCAUCAGCAGCAGUUUCAGAGGCAGUACCCGCAGCAGCAGCAGCAGUAUCGUCAGCACAGCCAGCAGGGAGGUAAUCAGUAUCAGAAGCAGAACAACCAGGCACCUCGCCUUCCUGCUCCAGCAGCAAAUCAGAGCAACCAAGCAGCCCCAGCACAAGGAGGAGGCAGAGGAUGUUUCCACUGCGGAGAUCAAGGACACUGGGCGAUGCAGUGCCCAAAGAAGAUGGCUCAGCAGCAGGCCAACCUCAAUGCUCCAACAAGGCAAGGUGUACUGCAGCCGGCAGCAGGUAAUCGUAACCAAGCGUACAACCGUGGAAAGGUGAACCACUUGGAGGCCGAAGCAAUCCAGGAUGCACCAGAUGUGGCAGUAGGUAUGUUCUCAGUCGAAUCUCAUCCCGCAAAAGUGCUAUUUGAUACUGGUGCAACUCAUUCAUUUGUCACUGCAACCUGGGUAGAAUUGCAUAACAUCUCAGUAGAGGCAAUGAUGCCGCCCAUGAGGAUUAAUUCGGUUGGUGGCAAGGUGCAAACAGAUAAAAUAUGCUCAAAUAUAAUGGUGGAAAUAAGGGGGAUAGGAUUCCCCAGUGACUUAAUAGUAAUAGACACCCCCGGAUAGAUGUUAUUCUAGGGAUGAACUGGUUAAUGAAGUAUGAGGCGAAUGUUAGUUGUGACAAGAGGACCGUAACAUUGAAGUCCCCGUCAGGAGAAGAGGUAGUGGCCGAGCUAUGGAUGCCUAAACCAGCGGAGGGAGCCUGUCAUCAGAUUUCAGUUGAUAGUAAGGAGCCCAACCCGCUCGAGGCUAUCAAGGUUGUGUCGGACUUUCCGGAUGUGUUUCCCGAGGAGCUAACGGGCAUGCCACCCGAGAGAAAGGUUGAAUUUGCCAUAGAGCUUGUCCCUGGUACCGCCCCCAUUUCCAAAAGAGCCUAUCGAGUGUCUGGACCAGAACUGGUAGAACUCAAGAAGCAGAUAGAUGAGAUGUUAGAGAAAGGUUACAUCAGGCCAAGCACCUCGCCUUGGGCCGCUCCAGUGUUGUUUGUAGAGAAGAAAGAUGGUACCAGAAGGAUGUGCAUAGAUUACAGAGCCCUGAAUGAAGUCACUAUUAAGAACAAGUACCCCCUGCCAAGAAUAGAAGAUCUGUUUGACCAGCUCAGAGGUGCCAGCGUAUUCUCGAAGAUAGAUCUGAGAUCAGGUUACCAUCAACUCAGAAUCCGACCCUCGGACAUACCGAAGACGGCAUUCAUCACCAAGUAUGGGUUAUAUGAGUUCACAGUUAUGUCCUUUGGUUUGACAAAUGCACCCGCCUUCUUUAUGUACCUGAUGAACAGUGUGUUCAUGGAUUAUCUGGACAAGUUUGUGGUAGUGUUCAUCGACGACAUUCUCAUAUACUCUCAAAGUGAGGAAGAUCAUGUAGAGCAUUUGAAGAUGGUAUUGCAAAGGCUUCGAGAACAUCAGUUGUAUGCCAAGCUGGGCAAAUGCGAGUUCUGGAUUCACGAAGUCUUGUUUCUGGGUCACAUCAUAAAUCAAGAUGGGUUGGCAGUAGAUCCAAAGAAAGUAGCAGAUAUCCUGAACUGGAAAGCACCGAAGGAUGUUCGCGGGAUCAAGAGCUUCAUCGGAAUGGCUGGAUAUUACAGGCGUUUCAUUGAAGGCUUUUCAAAGAUUGCUAGACCGAUGACAGCGUUACUAGCGAAGAAAGUUGAGUUUAAGUGGACCCAAAAGUGUCAGGAAGCAUUUGAAGAACUGAAGAAUAGAUUGACUACAGCUCCUGUGUUAGUCCUGCCUGAUGUUCACAAGCCAUUCUCAGUGUAUUGCGACGCUUCUUACACCGGAUUGGGAUGUGUGCUAAUGCAAGAAGGGAGAGUUGUAGCAUACUCGUCUCGACAGCUGAAGAUCCAUGAGAAAAAACUAUCCCACACAUGACCUGGAGUUGGCAGCAGUGGUUCAUGCUUUAAAGACCUGGAGGACAUUACCUGUAUGGGCAGAAGUGCGACAUCUACACAGAUCAUAAAAGUCUGAAGUACAUAUUCACCCAGUCAGAGUUAAACAUGAGGCAGCGAAGAUGGUUGGAAUUGAUCAAAGACUAUGAGUUGGAGAUACAUUACCAUCCAGGCAAAGCCAAUGUUGUUGCAGAUGCUCUGAGCAGGAAGAGUCAAGUUAAUAUGUUGGCCUCGUACCCGAUGCCGUAUGAGUUAGCCAAAGAGUUCGACAGACUGAGCCUUGGUUUCCUGAACAGUACGCAAGGAGUAACAGUGGAAUUGGAGCCCACCCUAGAGCGGGAGAUCAAAGAAGGGCAGAAGAACGAUGAAAACAUCAACAAGAUCCGGCAGCUGAUCUUAGAAGGAAGAGGCAAAGACUUUCGAGAGGAUGAAGAGGGGGUAAUAUGGUUCAAGGACCGAUUGUGUGUUCCCGACCUCAAACCUAUUCGGGAACUGAUCCUCAAGGAAGCUCACGAGACAGCCUACUUCAUACACCCUGGGAGUGAGAAGAUGUACCAGGAUUUAAAAAGAAGGUUUUGGUGGUAUGGCAUGAAAAGGGAGAUCGCGGAAUAUGUUGCCAUCUGUGAUAGCUGUCAGAGAACCAAAGCGGAGCACCAGAGGCCUGCCGGAUUGUUGCAGCCAUUGCGGAUUCCUCAGUGGAAGUGGGAUGAGAUCGGGAUGGAUUUUAUAGUUGGCCUACCUCGCACCCGGGCCGGUUAUGAUUCCAUCUGGGUGGUUGUGGACCGCCUAACAAAGGUGGCCCAUUUCAUACCUGUGAAGACAACAUACACCGGAGCAACGUUAGCUGAGUUAUACAUGUCACGGAUAGUCUGCCUUCAUGGUGUGCCGAAGAAGAUAGUGUCAGAUCGAGGAACGCAGUUCACAUCUCAUUUUUGGCAGCAGCUACAAGAAGCUUUGGGCACCCAUUUGAACUUCAGCUCAGCUUAUCACCCGCAGACAGACGGUCAGACUGAAAGAACUAAUCAGAUCCUAGAAGAUAUGUUGAGAGCCUGUGCGUUGCAAGACAAGUCAGGAUGGGACAAAAGAUUACCUUAUGCAGAAUUCUCCUACAACAAUAGUUACCAGGCCAGCUUUGAAAGAUGUCACCGUUUCAGGCACUCUAUGGACGGAGUUGUAGGACUCCGCUGCAUUGGGACCAGCCUGGAGAGAGACAGGUGUUUGGCCCCGACAUCUUGCUUGAAGCCGAAGAGAAUAUCAAAAUGGUUCGGGAGAACCUGAAGAUAGCACAGUCAAGACAGCGAAGCUAUGCGGACCGAAGGAGAAGAGAACUGAGUUUUGAAGUGGGAGAUUACGUCUAUCUGAAGGUGUCACCUAUCGGGGAGUCAGAGUUCGGAGUUAAAGGCAAGUUAGCACCCGGUACGUUGGACCAUAUCAGAUCAAACAAAGCGUGGAGAUGGCUUACAACUCAACCUACCAGAAGUUUGUGGAGUGCACAACGUGUUCCACGUGUCGCAAUUGAAGAAAAUGUCAGCGAGUACCAGAAGAGCAGUUGCCAGUGGAGGGUUUGGAAGUUCAGGAAAUCUGACCAAUAGAGAGCCACGCAGAUUUUGGAGUUUGCAGACAGGAGUCACCCGGAGAACACCAUCAGAAUGUGCAAAGUCAGAUGGGGUCACCACUCUGAGGAGAAGCAACNNNNNNNNNNNNNNNNNNNNNNNNNNNNNNNNNNNNNNNNNNNNNNNNNNNNNNNNNNNNNNNNNNNNNNNNNNNNNNNNNNNNNNNNNNNNNNNNNNNNCUACUGUGUUGCUAGCCUCUUGUGCAGGCGAGUAUCACAAGUGAGCGGCUUGGACAAUGCCAAGGAUCUGGGACACCCUCAAGAUUCUCUCAUGAGGGAAACGACGUCACCUUGCUCACCAAAAUGGAGUUGGUGGAGGCGAGCUUGGACGGUUCGCGAUGAUAAGGGGCGAGGAGCCACCAAACAUACAACCGGCUCAAGACCCUUAUCAACAAUAAGGAGCUACGGAGCACGCGAUGGACGGACCACGACGUCGUCCGCUAAUGCUAAGGUCAUUACCGUUCUUGAUCCUCAUUUGGUGAACAAUAUUCGUGAAAAUCCCAGGUACACCAAGAUGUCGCCCGAAGAAGUUCUUGGGAAAUUCGUAGCGGGCGAAUGAUGAUCAAGGAGGCAGGUACGUGGACGACCCUUGAAUGGUCCGAUCAACGAGCCGCAACCCCUUGUCUCAAGGCAACAGAAGCAAGGAGGCGCUACCUGGCAAGGUGGCACAGAUUGAGGCGGCCGGACUUAAUGAUGAAGAGAUGGCUCUCAUCAUCAAAAGAUUCAAGACGGUGCUUAAAGGUCGCAAGGGACAGCCAAGCAAGACCAAAGCCAAGGGGAAGCGCUAUGCUUAAAUGCGGUAAGCUUGUCAUUUAUUGCUAACUGUCCCGACAAUGAUAGUGAUCAGGAUCAAGGGAACAAGAGGGAGAAAGAGGAACUAUAAGAAGGCAAAGGCGAGGCUCAUCUUGGCAAGGAGUGGGAUUCGGACUGCUCCUCGUCCGACUCUGAAAAUGAGGACUCGCCGCCAACCUUCAACAAGUCAUCCCUCUUCCCCAACGAGCGUCACACUUGCCUCAUGGCAAGGAGAGAAAGUAAGCACUCUAAUACUAGUACUUAUGCUUCUUCAAGUGAGGAUGAGUCUAGUGAUGAUGAUGAGAUAGAUUACUCAUGCUUAUUCAAGGGAUUAGAUAGAACCUAAGGUAGACAAAAUUAAUGAAUUGAUUGAUGCCUUGAAUGAUAGGAAUAUACUGUUAGAAAAGCAAGAGGAUUUGUUGUAUGAAGAACAUGAUAAUUGUAGAAGCUCAGAAAUCUCUUGCUUAGAAAUUAAGAGGAAUGAAAUGCUCUCUAGUGAAUUAUCUUCUUGUCAUGAAACUAUUGCUAAGUUAAAAGUUUAAUGAUGAUUUAAAUGCUAAACUAGAAGUAGCUAGUAAAUCUAUUCUUGUGUAGAAAUUGUUGAAACUUGUAAUGGUGUAAAGAUUUUGACAUUGAUGCUUGUAGUGAAUCAUUAGUUUCAAUUUCUAAAUUAAAUGAGAAUUAGCUAGUCUUAAUGCCCAACUUAAGACUAGCAAGAUGAAUUUGACAAGCUAAAAUUUGCAAGGGAUGCCUACACAUUGGUAGACACCCCUCAAUUAAGGAUGGACUUGGCUACAGAGGGAAGCCAAGAAUUGACAAGCCAUAAGGCCCCCAUCUCCGCCAAGGAGAAAGGAAGGCCCCUAUGGCUAGUAGUGUGCAAAAGAACCAUGCUUUAUGUACCAUGAUAGGAGACAAUCUAGAAAUGCUUAUAGAGUGUAAUGAUAUAAUGCCUUUGAUUCUCAUGCCAUGUUUGCUUCUAGUUCUUCUUAUGUGCAUGAUAAAAUGUUGGUAGGAGAAAUGUGUUCAUAAUUGCCUAGGAGAAAUGUUGUUAAUGUCCUAGGAAAUAAAUGAACCUUCUACAAUAUAUCAUGCUUAAAUCUUCUUUGCUAUUUGUAGAAAGGAUAGAAAUAUUGCUAGAAAUAGGGCAAAAUGCAAGGAGACAAACUUGCAUUGGUCCCUAAGGAAUUGCUAACCUUGCAGGACCAACAUGAGUGGGUACCUAAGACCCAAGCCUAAAUUGCCUUGCAGGUUUAUGCAUCCGGGGUUCAAGCUGGAUUAUUGACAGCGGAUCACAAACCAUAUGACGGGGAGAAGAAAUGUUCACCCCUACGUCAAAAACAAAGAUUCCCAAUUCAAUAUAUUCGGUGAUGGGAAUCAAGGCAAGGUAAAAGGGUUAGGUAAAAUUGCAAUCUCAAUGAGCACUCUAUCUCUAAUGUGUUUUAGUAGAGUCUCUUGAUAAUUUGCUAUCUAUUAGUCAAUAUGCAAUAUGGAUAUAACUGUUUUUACAAAUGUAGAUGUGUCUGUCUUUAAAGAUGGAUGGUUCACUAGCUUUUAGGGUGUACUAGACGCAACUUACUAGUUGAUUUUGCAAAAGAAGAGGCCGGUCUAGAUGCAUGCUUAAUGGCUAAGACUUGCAUGGGCUGGCUGUGGAUCGCCGCUUAGCACAUGUGGGGAUGAAAACCUCACAAGCUUCUAAAGGGAGAACAUGUGAUAGGUUAACCAAUGUUCAUUUCGAAAAAGAUAGACCUUGUGCAGCUUGUCAAGCAGGGAAACAAGUGGAGGCUCUCAUACACCAAAAAUGUGAUGACACAUCAAGACCCCUGGAGCUGCUACAUAUGGACCUCUUCGGACCCGUCGCCUAUCUGAGCAUAGGAGGAAGUAAGUAUGGUCUAGUUAUUGUUGAUGACUUUUCCCGCUUCACUUGGGUGUUCUUUUUGCAGGAUAAGUCUGAAACCCAAGGGACCCUCAAGCGCUUCCUAGGAGAGCUCAAAAUGAGUUUGAGCUCAAGGUGAAGAGAUAAGGAGCGACAACGGGUCCGAUUCAAGAACCUUCAAGUGGAGAGUUCCUUGAGGAGGAGGGAUCAAGCACGAGUUCUCCGCUCCCUACACACCACAGCAAAAUGGUGUGGUAGAGAGGAAGAACAGGACGCUAAUCGAUAUGGCGAGGACUAUGCUUGGAGAAUUCAAGACCCCCGAGUGCUUUUGGUCGGAAGCCGUGAACACGGCUUGCCACGCCAUCAACAGGGUCUACCUUCACGCCUCCUCAAGAAGACUUCGUAUGAGCUACUAACCGGUAACAAACCCAAUGUAUCUUACUUUCGUGUAUUUGGGAGCAGGUGCUACAUUCUAGUGAAGAAGGGUAGAAAUUCUAAAUUUGCUCCCAAAGCUGUAGAAGGGUUUUUGUUAGGUUAUGACUCAAAUACAAAGGCGUAUAGAGUCUUCAACAAUCAUCGGGUUUGGUUGAAGUCUCUAGCGACGUUGUAUUUGAUGAGACUAAUGGCUCUCCAAGAGAGCAAGUUGUUGAUUGUGAUGAUGUAGAUGAAGAAGAUGUUCCGACGGCCGCUAUACGAACCAUGGCGAUUGGAGAAGUGCGGCACAGGAACAAGAUGAACGAGAUCAACUUCUUCCUCAACACGGUGCAUCCCCCACUCAAGACGAUGAACAGGUUCAUCAAAAGGAGGCGUGUGAUCAAGGGGGAGCACAAGAUGAUACGUGAUGGAGGAAGAAGCGCAACCGGCACCUCCAACCAAGUUCGAGCGUGAUUCAAAGGGAUCAUCCCGUCGACCAAAUUUUGGGUGACAUUAGCAAGGGAGUAACUACUCGAUCUCGAUUAGUUAAUUUUUGUGAGCAUUAUCCUUUGUCUCUUCUAUUGAGCCUUUCAGGGUAGAGGAGGCCUUGCUAGAUCCGGAUUGGGUAUUGGCCAUGCAGGAGGAACUCAACAACUUCAAGCGCAAUGAAGUUUGGACACUGGUGCCUCGUCCAAGCAAAAUGUUGUGGGAACCAAGUGGGUGUUCCGCAACAACAGGACGAGCACGGGUGGUGACGAGGAACAAGGCUCGACUUGUGGCAAAAGGUUAUGCCCAAGUCGCAGGUUUGGACUUUGAGGAGACUUUGCUCCUGUGGCUAGGCUAGUCCAUUCGUAUUUGCUAGCAUAUGCCGCUCACCAUUCUUUCAGGUUGUUCCAAAUGGAUGUAAAGAGCGCUUUCCUCAAGGGCCGAUCAAGGAGGAAGUUGUACGUGGAGCAACCCCCUGGCUUCGAGGAUGAACGGUAUCCCGACCACGUGUGUAAGCUCUCUAAGGCGCUCUAUGGACUUAAGCAAGCCCCAAGAGCAUGGUAUGAAUGCCUUAGAGACUUUUAAUUGCUAAUGCUUUCAAGGUUGGGAAAGCCGAUCCAACUCUUUUCACUAAGACUUGUGACGGUGAUCUUUUUGUGUGCCAAAUUUAUGUCGAUGACAUAAUAUUUGGUUCUACUAACCAAAAGUCUUGUGAAGAGUUUAGCAGGGUAAUGACGCAGAAAUUCGAGAUGUCGAUGAUGGGCGAGUUGAACUACUUCCUUGGGUUCCAAGUGAAGCAACUCAAGGACGGCACCUUCAUCUCCCAAACGAAGUACACCAAGAUCUGCUAAAGCGGUUUGGGAUGAAGGACGCCAAGCCUGCAAAGACUCCGAUGGGACCGACGGACACACCGACCUCAACAAAGGAGGUAAGUCUGUUGAUCAAAAAGCAUACCGGUCAAUGAUAGGGUCUUUACUUUAUUUAUGUGCUAGUAAACCGGAUAUUAUGCUUAGCGUAUGCAUGUGUGCUAGAUUUCAAUCCGAUCCUAAGGAUGUCACUUAGUGGCGGUUGAAGCGAAUUCUUAGAUAUUUGGUUGCUACGCCUUGCUUCGGGCUCUGGUAUCAAAGGGGUCUACCUUUGACUUGGUUGGAUACUCAGACUCCGACUAUGCUGGAUGUAGGUC
rnacentral:lncRNA from 1 species